GCUGUUCAGCUCACGUGCCGACGUCUGUUCCCUCCCCAACUCAGCACACAUCGGUAAUACGUCAUGUUGGCUUCAAAAUGAGCAACAAACUCACACUACAAGUUACUCGUGUCCCCAGUUAAGUAUUCAUAACAUUACUUAAAAGGUCGUCUUUGCCAAGGGUGUAACCAUGGAACCAUGGUUCGGACAUUGGGGGGGUCCGCCGGACGCUGCGGCCCCGCUGAGCGGAGCGAGCGGCCACUCAGAGAGUCCCGGUUUUGUCGGCUCGCCUUUGGCUCAAGUGGUCAGGCGCCGGCUGACAGGCGGAUUCAUCCACUUCCUGUGAGCCGGCUGGACACGACGGACGGGCCAAUGUGCUGCGCAGUAAAUGUGGUCGUGCACAAGGCGAGGCGCAGACGAUUCCUGGGAAUCUACGGAGGCGAUGAUGGCGCCGUGGUCACAACCUCCUUCUUCGCUCUUUUCCAGUCGUGCACUCGGGAGGAAAUUGCUAAUGCGAACCGAGCGUUGCGAGUCAAAGUCUUCGCGAGCGGUUUGUGCUUCUCCUCCGGGGGGGUUUGCGGCCCAUAUGAGGAGCUUCUCGAUGCUGCAGCGGUAAUCACACUAGUUGGCCCUCAAGGUCGUUAAUGAUGCAAGAGUUUUAAAUAUUACAUCCAUUUAUCAAAUGUCCUUCUUUCCGUGCCACAGUUGUGUGCGGGGCAGAGUUUGAUAUCCGUGCAUACUGAUGGGCUGAAUGAUAUGAG
ensembl:lncRNA